GUGAACUGUCCCUCGAGCUGCUUCUGCUUCAGGUUGUCUUGCCAGCAUUACUCGAACAGGGACACACGAGGCAGUGGCUGAAGGGGCUGGUGCGAGCGUGGACUGUGACUGCCGGAUACUUGCUGGAUCUUCAUUCUUAUUUAUUGGGAGACCAGGAAGAAAAUGAAAACAGUGCAAAUCAACAAGUUAACAAUAAUCAGCAUGCUCGAAAUAACAACGCUAUUCCUGUGGUGGGAGAAGGCCUUCAUGCAGCCCACCAAGCCAUACUCCAGCAGGGAGGGCCUGUUGGCUUUCAGCCUUACCGCCGACCUUUAAAUUUUCCACUCAGGAUAUUUCUGUUGAUUGUCUUCAUGUGUAUAACAUUACUGAUUGCCAGCCUCAUCUGCCUUACUUUACCAGCUUUUCUAUUUUCAGUAUUUGCUGGCCGUUGGUUAAUGUCAUUUUGGACGGGGACUGCCAAAAUCCAUGAGCUCUACACAGCUGCUUGUGGUCUCUAUGUUUGCUGGCUAACCAUAAGGGCUGUGACGGUGAUGGUGGCAUGGAUGCCUCAGGGACGCAGAGUGAUCUUCCAGAAGGUUAAAGAGUGGUCUCUCAUGAUCAUGAAGACUUUGAUAGUUGCGGUGCUGUUGGCUGGAGUUGUCCCUCUCCUUCUGGGGCUCCUGUUUGAGCUGGUCAUUGUGGCUCCCCUGAGGGUUCCCUUGGAUCAGACUCCUCUUUUUUAUCCAUGGCAGGACUGGGCACUUGGAGUCCUGCAUGCCAAAAUCAUUGCAGCUAUAACAUUGAUGGGUCCUCAGUGGUGGUUGAAAACUGUAAUUGAACAGGUAAGCAAAAU
rnacentral:sRNA from 1 species